rnacentral:snRNA from 1 species
UUGCUUUGGCAGCACAUAUACUAAAUUUAGAACAAUACAGAGAAGAUUAGCCUGGCCCCUGUGCAAGGAUGACAUGCAAAUUCAUGAAGCAUUCCAUAUUUAU